UGUUUGGGCCCAUUUGCCAUUUGUGUUCUGG
rnacentral:piRNA from 1 species